GACGUAGUUAGCCGGCGCUUCUUCUGCAGGUACCGUCACUUUCGCUUCUUCCCUACAGAAAGAGGUUUACAACCCGAAGGCCGUCAUCCCUCACGCGGCGUCGCUGCAUCAGGCUUGCGCCCAUUGUGCAAUAUUCCCCA
rnacentral:rRNA from 1 species